GGACGCGAUGGUCGUGAUGCUGGCUUACGCGGACCUCCUGGAAGACGUGGACCAGCUGGACCUCGAGGUGAAAAGGGGGAAGCUGCAGGAUCAGGAGGGGGAACUGUGUACACACGAUGGGGAAGAAAACAUUGUCCACAGAUCUCUGGAAAUAAUGAAUUAUAUUCAGGUGUGAUGGCUGGAACACAUUAUAGCCAUAAGGGUGGUGCAUCAAACUAUCUUUGUCUACCAUUGAAUCCAAUAUUUGACAAAGUUAAGGCUGGUAAUCAAGGAGGGAGUUAUAUUUAUGGCACCGAGUACGAGACACAUGCUUAUCCUAACGUAUUUCCGCGAAACAUCGCUAAUCACGAUGCUCCCUGCGCAGUCUGUCACACCGAGUCACGUGGUAGUCACGUGAUGAUACCAGCUCGUAAUGUCUGUCCCUCAGGCUGGACCUUGGAGUAUAAAGGAUAUAUCAUGUC